AUUGAACGCUGGCGGCAGGCCUAACACAUGCAAGUCGAACGGUAGCACAGAGAGCUUGCUCUUGGGUGACGAGUGGCGGACGGGUGAGUAAUGUCUGGGAAACUGCCCGAUGGAGGGGGAUAACUACUGGAAACGGUAGCUAAUACCGCAUAACGUCUUCGGACCAAAGUGGGGGACCUUCGGGCCUCACACCAUCGGAUGGGCCCAGAUGGGAUUAGCUAGUAGGUGGGGUAAUGGCUCACCUAGGCGACGAUCCCUAGCUGGUCUGAGAGGAUGACCAGCCACACUGGAACUGAGACACGGUCCAGACUCCUACGGGAGGCAGCAGUGGGGAAUAUUGCACAAUGGGCGCAAGCCUGAUGCAGCCAUGCCGCGUGUAUGAAGAAGGCCUUCGGGUUGUAAAGUACUUUCAGCGGGGAGGAAGGCGAUGGAGUUAAUAGCUUCAUCGAUUGACGUUACCCGCAGAAGAAGCACCGGCUAACUCCGUGCCAGCAGCCGCCGUAA
rnacentral:rRNA from 1 species